rnacentral:lncRNA from 1 species
AAGCUCCAAACAAGUUUUAUCCUGUCCACAGGUCAGUUUUGUUACAGAGGCCAAUUAGCAGUGCUACCUUCGCCUGCGGCAAAAAGCCAAGUAAUGACCGGGCAAGCCCUGCGGAGGGGUGAUGAAUAACUCCGGAGAGCUGUAAUUUGAAAGGGGGGCCUUUGAAGCAUUUACCUUACAUGGGACGCCAUUGUCCCUGCAGGGUGUUUGAUCUUAAAAUAAUUUACUUAAUGAUCUCACCAUGGGAGCAAUUGGCAGAGCAAGAUUAGGCUGUAAGGCCUAAUGGACAUGGGAAAAGUUAAAAUUGCUCAGAGAAAGGCGUGGCUGUGCUGACUUCAGAGAGGAAUUGUUGGUGGCUUAGCAACAGCUGCACACACAGCUUCCAGAGGGAAUGGAGCUGAAUUGGACAUGGCAACAAGAAUGCAGGCCUGAAUCACAUUAUGUUCCAAGAACCUUUAACUUUGCAUCAUAAUGACCUGCGGCCUAACAGAAGCAAAUUGCAAGUGGUUUCAAAAGGAUAAACUCUAAUUUAUAUUAAGCUAGUAUUAUAACUUAAGCAGCUCGUUUUGAAAGCAAAACUAAAAACCUCAUCAUUCAUGUGAUGGCCCCUAAAUGCAUCCUUUUUCAUUUUACCUGUAAAAUGCUCUGUGUUUGCUGACAGGUUAAAUGUAUACUAUACACAGAGAGCCAACAUUUCUCUUUGUAACACUGCAGCAAUCUUACUUUUAGCAGCAUUCGUAUUAUUUUAAGCUGUCCCCAUUUUCUUCUAAACACCAUAAUUAGAAGCUGAAAAGCUUACAGCAACCAAACCCAAUAAGGUCUCAUUAUGAACAAAAUAUUCUACCGUGGCUCAACAAGUGACCCAAUGUAUUCCAACAAGAUGAAGCCUUCAGCCUUCCUGCCCAAUUACGGCAUCAGGCACAUGAACCAAUAGGCAAUUAC